UACGAAGGGGGCUAGCGUUGUUCGGAAUCACUGGGCGUAAAGCGCACGUAGGCGGAUUGUUAAGUCAGGGGUGAAAUGCCAGGGCUCAACCUUGGAACUGCCUUUGAUACUGGCAAUAUCGAGUCCGGGAGAGGUGAGUGGAACUGCGAGUGUAGAGGUGAAAUUCGUAGAUAUUCGCAAGAACACCAGUGGCGAAGGCGGCUCACUGGCCCGGUACUGACGCUGAGGUGCGAAAGCGUGGGGAGCAAACAGG
rnacentral:rRNA from 1 species